GACCCCGCACAAGCGGCGGAGCAUGCGGCUUAAUUCGAUGAUACCCGUAGAACCUUACCUGGACUUGACAUAUAGGGUCAAGCUAUAGAGAUAUAGUGUGCAUUAGCGCCCUAUACAGGUGGUGCAUGGCUGUCGUCAGCUCGUGUCGUGAGAUGUUGGGUUAAGUCCCGCAACGAGCGCAACCCCCUGUCCUAUGUUGCCAGCAAGUAAUGUUGGGGACUCAUAGGAGACUGCCGUGAUAAACCGGAGGAAGGUGGGACGACGUCAAGUCAUCAUGCCCCUUAUGUCCAGGGCUGCACGCAUGCUACAAUGGCAAGUACAACGAGUCGCAAUACCGCGAGGUGGAGCAAAUCUCUUAAAGCUUGUCUC
rnacentral:rRNA from 1 species